UCUGAUUAUUAUUUUCAGAUUAGAGCGGUAUAGUCUCAUAUGAUAUAGUGUGUUAAUAGAUGAUUUAUUAAGUGACUACAUUGAAUUUAGGUUUUCGUAAAGAAAGUAAGAGGAUGGCUAGCUGGCUAUGAAAUUAUGUCGGUGGAUGAUUAUGUGAUUACACAAGAUGUUUGCUUCAAUGAAAUGGAUCGAGGAAUGUCUCUGUUAGUGUAAUUGUAAAGAGACAGUAGAUUGUGCAAUAAAGAUUUGAAAUUGAAGGACAGACGUAAUGGUAGCUUUGACUGAGAAUUAGAAUUCUGAAAUCAAGAAGAAUAAUAGAAAAUCCUUGUUUUCAGUUUUCUCUUUCUUACUCCAUUGGCUAUUUGUAAACACAAUUAUUUUUCCUGUUUGUAAAUGAAGUAUAACUUAAAUAGCAAUGCACAAAGACCUAUGAACUAUUAUUUUAGAAAUCUGUGUAUUUACUAACAGGAACACUGUUUCCAUUGUAUGAAUGUAAACCUACUAGAAACAGGGAUUCAUGAUCACCACUGGAUACUGUGCCAGGAGAAAGUUUGGGAUCAAGAGAGUGGAUACAAAGGGCAAGAACUCUUACUAAUAGAAGACCAGUAUUCUGGACUCUUUAUAUCACACAAAAAUACCAGCUUUGUAUGAAAACAAAGCCAACAUGGGAUGGGCUCAUCACAUCUCAUGUUCAACUGUUAGAUACCUCAAGCAGAUGGAGAAUGAAAUGAGUAUUUGUGCUAUUCCAUACGAAGACAUGUAUACAAAUCACAUCACUGGUUGCAGUAUCUAUGGAUUUCUGUGUGAUUUGACUGUCAAAAUGUGCAAUGGGAAACUGUCAUCCCCGUAAAGUAAAUGGACUAUGAAACUGAAAUAGGGAGGAGUGUGUACAUGUACUCUAGAUAUGACAGCCUAACAAUGGAAACUAUGUUGCAUGGCUAUUGUCAUGAUGCAUGGAGAUCAGACAAAGCAUGACUGGACAUAGCAACAUGAUGUACUCAAUCCUCUGUAUACUUAAGCAUUUAAUUUCCUUUCUCAACUUUAACAUAUGUGUAUAUAUAUAAUGCUGUGAAAGAGUUCUAUAUGUGGGAUUUAUUUCUAAUCCACAACAUUAAAUCAAAGGCGUAGUAAAUGUCAUCUUGUGCAUGUGUCUCCAACAAAUUGUUUUGUGUGUGUUAAAUAAUUUAGAAAUUUGUUUGUCAUUUGUCAUGGACCUUUUGAUUCAAACUUUUCAAAUUUCUUAACAAAUAGCAGCAAGUACAAUGGAGUUACUUGGUGAUAUUGAUAUAACUUUAUAUUUAAUUAAGAGUAAAGUUCAAAUAAAACAUGUUUUAUUAUGAUUUUUUACUUUGAUUAGUUAAGUCUAGAAGUAUGGUUGUGGUAUCUAGAAAGCUACUUUGUAUUACCUGAACCGAUCCUUGUUGCUGUUUUAUGAAACAUGUUACUUUUGUGGGACUAAAAAGACAUGAUACUGACAGCACAUUGAAAUCCUGUUCACCUUAAAGUGCACCAGCGAAAUAUCUUGCAGAAACUGUAUUGAGAUGGAAUUAGUGAUUCUAAUUUCAAGGACACCGACUUUGAAGACAAAGUGCUAUCUUUUGCACUUAAAUAGAUGGUCAGUAACUGCUGGUAAACUCUAUGUAUUUCUUUUGAAAAUGUCAAGUUAAUAAAAUUUUAUGGUCAUUAUUGGC